ensembl:lncRNA
UGCUGUUUGACUGCUUAAAUGGGGCCGUGUGAAACGCCCACGGGAUCCUGGGCGAGGUGGCCCUUCCGGCUGCUGCUGCACCCAAACGCUGCGCUUCACGGGGAGCUUCGGAGCGAGUCCGCUCGGGGGGAACAGCGUUGCCUGCCGCAGCUGUGCCGGCACAGCCAGGCUUUGGCUGUUCUGUAGGCGCCCAGCCCCGCGUUGAAUCCUUUCCAGCCAUUUGCGUCAUCUGCUGCUGCCUGCACAGGAUAAGGUGCCCCUGCAAAGCAAAACCAGCGGCAGCUCCUCGAGCCUGACCUCUCCCCAGCACCUCCCUGGGCUCCGGUGAUGGGAAGGACACGUGCUGGUCUGCAGCAGCAGCGGGGCUGUGAGCUCUGUGACAGGAAGAUCCAGGAUCCCCCGAUGGUUGGUGAUGCAACAGGAGGCCAAGGCAAAUAGGGGAGCAUUCCUUAUUAUUGCAGGAGAAAGGGGCAGAGAGUAAAACCUUGCUGGUUUCCCACCACAGGGACUGCACUUGCCUUCUGCUUCCUUCACUGGGCACACUCGAGUCAUCGUAGUAAGUAUUUCUCAUCACACGUGUUUCCAAAGGCAGCAAAUAUUCCCUUUGUGAGCUGUUAUACAGAGACCAUCCUCUGUUUUAAUACCUUAUCCUCC